rnacentral:rRNA from 1 species
AACGAACGCUGGCGGCAGGCCUAACACAUGCAAGUCGAGCGAGCAUUUCGGUGCUAGCGGCGGACGGGUGAGUAACGCGUGGGAACGUGCCCUUUUCUGCGGAAUAGUCCUGGGAAACUGGGGGUAAUACCGCAUACGCCCUUUUGGGGAAAGAUUUAUCGGAGAAGGAUCGGCCCGCGUUGGAUUAGGUAGUUGGUUGGGUAAUGGCCCACCAAGCCGACGAUCCAUAGCUGGUUUGAGAGGAUGAUCAGCCACACUGGGACUGAGACACGGCCCAGACUCCUACGGGAGGCAGCAGUGGAGGAUCUUAGACAAUGGGGGCAACCCUGAUCUAGCCAUGCCGCGUGAGUUAUGAAGUCCUUAGGGUUGUAAAGCUCUUUCAUCUGGGAAGAUAAUGACGGUACCAGCAGAAGAAGCCCCGGCUAACUCCGUG